GACGAACGCUGGCGGCGUGCUUAACACAUGCAAGUCGAACGGAAAGGCCCUGCUUUUGUGGGGUGCUCGAGUGGCGAAAGGGUGAGUAACACGUGAGUAACCUGCCCUUGACUUUGGGAUAACUUCAGGAAACUGGGGCUAAUACCGGAUAGGAGCUCCUGCUGCAUGGAGGGGGUUGGAAAGUUUCGGCGGUUGGGGAUGGACUCGCGGCUUAUCAGCUUGUUGGUGGGGUAGUGGCUUACCAAGGCUUUGACGGGUAGCCGGCCUGAGAGGGUGACCGGCCACCUUGGGACUGAGAGACGGCCCAGACUCCUACGGGAGGCAGCAGUGGGGAAUAUUGCACAAUGGGCGGAAGCCUGAUGCAGCAACGCCGCGUGCGGGAUGACGGCCUUCGGGUUGUAAACCGCUUUCGCCUGAGACGAAGCGUGAGUGACGGUAAUGGGUAAAGAAGCACCGGCUAACUACGUG
rnacentral:rRNA from 1 species